rnacentral:rRNA from 1 species
UACGUAGGGGGCAAGCGUUGUCCGGAUUUAUUGGGCGUAAAGAGCGUGUAGGCGGCCAGGUAGGUCAGCUGUGAAAACUCGAGGCUCAACCUCGAGACGCCGAUUGAAACCAUCUGGCUAGAGUCCGGAAGAGGAGAGUGGAAUUCCUGGUGUAGCGGUGAAAUGCGCAGAUAUCAGGAAGAACACCCGUGGCUAAGGCGGCUCUCUAGUACGGUACUGACGCUGAGACGCGAAAGCGUGGGGAGCGAACAGG